CGUCAAAUGAUCGCUGGAGCCGCCGAAAAAGGUGUCGAAAUCACCGGAAGCUCGAAACUUAUCGGCUUCGAUUCUCCCAUCUUCGGCCGAUUCGAGUUAAAUGGCGAGUACUAAGACGAUCAGCGAGGCAAAGGCGGCUUGAGGUGGUCUGAAAAGGAAUCUUUGGUCGGGUUGAGCGCGCGGCCUUCCGAGCUCUUUUUUGCUUUGAUUCGCUCCACUGGUUGAUGAUUGGAGCAAGGGACGACCGGAAACCUCACUGGCGAGAGAAGGUGCGUCAAAAACGGCUGGUACGUCGUCCGGAGGUGGCCGGAAGGCGGAGAACCAGUCUGAUCUCCGGGUUCGGGUCUGGUCAAGUGACGGGUCGC
rnacentral:lncRNA from 1 species